rnacentral:rRNA from 1 species
AGUGAACGCUGGCGGUAGGCAUAACACAUGCAAGUCGAACGGCAGCACAGUAAGAGCUUGCUCUUACGGGUGGCGAGUGGCGGACGGGUGAGGAAUACAGCGGCAUCUACUUUUUCGUGGGGGAUAACGUAGGGAAACUUACGCUAAUACCGCAUACGACCUACGAGUGAAAGAAGGCGAUCUUCGGACCUUGCGCGAUUGAAUGAGCCGAUGUCGGAUUAGCUAGUUGGCGGGGUAAAGGCCCACCAAGGCGACGAUCCGUAGAUGGUCUGAGAGGAUGAGCAGCGACACUGGAAUGGAGACACGGUCCAGACUCCUACGGGAGGCAGCAGUGGGGAAUAUUGGAGAAUGGGCGCAAGCCUGAUCCAGGCAUACCGCGUGGGUGAAGAAGGCCUUCGGGUUGUAAAGCCCUUUUGUUGGGAAAGAAAAGCAGCAGGUUAAUACCCCGCUGUUCUGACGGUACCCAAAGAAUAAGCACCGGCUAACUUCGUG